ACCUUAUUUUUCACGACAACAAGGGCGGCGCCAUUUCGCUCAUUUUGUCAACGUUCUUCCGGCCGCAUAGACGAUGAGCAGCUGAGGCAGUUACUGAAGGCGACGAGUUAAGCUUAAAAAGCUUACUCGAGCGCCUUUGUUUCUUUCUUACCAAUUUUAAGCCAACUGAGGAACACCAUUAUCCCAAGUAAUGGUUCGACUACGAUGUUCCGGUAACUUUAAACCACGCCGGGUGUUGAAAAGGUGGCCAGUUUCAGAUGCAUUGAUGUGUAGUGAUGCAGUGGACAACUGUGAGGAUGAUACCUGUGAUGUUCCUAAACUGUGAUGCAGAAACACAAUGGGAGGAUCCAUCCGUCUCUGACCACAACUACACUUUAAAAUCACAACUCAACCUGAAGCAACCUACAUCUGAUAUGGGAAAACAAUGGUGCGGUUUCCCGGACAGGGCUUAUCCUGGUCCCAGGCUAAAAUGCAUAUUUGAGCUACAAUAAUUUAAAAACACCUUUUACUGACAUACCUCAACAUAUAUGAGUGACAUUGUUUUGUCACAAGAUGCGCACCAGUCUUGUUUUUUUGUAGGGUUU